UUGAACGCUGGCGGUAGGCCUAACACAUGCAAGUCGAACGGCAGCACAGGAGAGCUUGCUCUCUGGGUGGCGAGUGGCGGACGGGUGAGGAAUACAUCGGAAUCUACUUUUUCGUGGGGGAUAACGUAGGGAAACUUACGCUAAUACCGCAUACGACCUACGGGUGAAAGCAGGGGACCUUCGGGCCUUGCGCGAUUGAAUGAGCCGAUGUCGGAUUAGCUAGUUGGCGGGGUAAAGGCCCACCAAGGCGACGAUCCGUAGCUGGUCUGAGAGGAUGAUCAGCCACACUGGAACUGAGACACGGUCCAGACUCCUACGGGAGGCAGCAGUGGGAAUAUUGGACAAUGGGCGCAAGCCUGAUCCAGCCAUACCGCGUGGGUGAAGAAGGCCUUCGGGUUGUAAAGCCCUUUUGUUGGGAAAGAAAUCCAGCCGGCUAAUACCUGGUUGGGAUGACGGUACCCAAAGAAUAAGCACCGGCUAACUUCGUGCCAGCCGCCGCAGUAAUAC
rnacentral:rRNA from 1 species